UCUUCGCCACUUAAUUCAAUAUGAUACCGAAAGGUACCACUUUCCGUUAGAAAACAGAAUCUCGCGACGAAUGCCCAGUUCUAAAAAAAUUGUUUCAGCAACGACAGAUGAGCGAUCGAGAAGAGCAGCAGCAGAAAGCCCAGCUUCACCGAGUUCCGAGUGCGCGACGCCCGUGCAACGAGCGUUCCUCCGCACAUAACUACCGCGAUCGCUACGGACGCACACUGUCAGCGGCCAAGCGGCCGCUUUGAUCAAUAUUACCCGGUGCCAUGACAUGUAUAUCGAUUUGAUUAUUCGCACGAAACGGGUCGACAUUUGCGAAAUUGUUGUUGCGAGAAAAGAAAAAAAAAGAAGAAAAAAGAGAAGACGCUUUCGUAUUUUGCUCGAAAUUUCGCGCUAUUGUAGACUCUUCCUUCCGUGUGCUCUUCUUCAGUUUCUCUGUGCCCUUUUUCCUUCCUAACAUGUAAGUUUUGACUGUAAGAAAUGUAAUUAAAAUAAUAGCGUA
rnacentral:lncRNA from 13 species